AUGGAGAACAUGCUGGAAUGUGCAUUCAUAGUCUUGUGGCUUCAGCUUGCCUGGUUGAGGGGAGAAGACCAGGUGAAGCAGAGUCCUCAGACCCUGAAAAUCCAGGAGGGAGACAGUCUCAUCCUCAACUGCAGCUACACGGUCAGCAGUUUUAACGGGCUACUGUGGUAUAGACAGGAUCCCGGGAAGGGACCCGAACUUCUCUUCAUUCUUUCCUCAGUUGGGAAGGAAAAGCAGAAAGAAAGACUAAAAGCCACCUUGUUAAAGAAGGGAAGCUCUCUGCACAUCGCAGCCCCUAAACCUGAAGACUCAGCCACUUACCUCUGUGCUGUGGAGACACAGUGCUCCCCAGGCGCCUGCAGCCUGUACACAAACCCUGCAGCUGGGGCUCUGGAAUCAGGGCAUCUUUGGUGUUUUCCCUCCUCGAAGAAGUAG